AUCACUAAGUUUCAAUAGAGGGAUAUUGAUUUUAGUGGGAGUAGAUUCUGUUAAAAUAGUUUAAUGUAAUUUGCUCUAUCUUGGAUACGUUUGUCUUAGUGUAUUUUGCAUUACUUUUGUUGUAGAUUAAAUGGCACCUAGCAACACCACCGCAUCGUUUGCUUUGCGUUCGGUCCUUGAGAAGGACAAGUUGAAUGGAACAAAUUAUUCGGAUUGGAUCCGCAACCUGAGAAUUGUUCUCAGGGCUGAGAAAAAGGAAGAUGUUCUAGACAACCCACUACCA
rnacentral:lncRNA from 1 species